rnacentral:rRNA from 1 species
UUCCGGUUGAUCCUGCCGGACCUGACUGCUAUCGGAUUGAUACUAAGCCAUGUGAGUCAUUGUAGCAAUACAAGGCAGACGGCUCAGUAACACGUAGCCAAUCUAACCUAUGGACGGGGAUAACCUCGGGAAACUGAGGAUAAACCCCGAUAGAUCAUUAUACCUGGAACGGUUUAUGGUCCAAAUGAUUCGUCGCCGUAGGAUGAGACUGCGGCCUAUCAGCUUGUUGGUGAGGUAAUGGCCCACCAAGGCUAUUACAGGUACGGGCUCUGAGAGGAGAAGCCCGGAGAUGGGUACUGAGACACGGACCCAGGCCCUAUGGGGCGCAGCAGGCGAGAAACCUUUGCAAUGUGCGCAAGCACGACAAGGUUAAUCCGAGUGUUUCCUGCUAAAGGAAUCUUUUGUUAGUCUUAAAAUCACUAUUGAAUAAGGGGUGGGCAAGUUCUGGUGUCAGCCGCCGCGGUAAAACCAGCACCUCAAGUGGUCAGGAGGAUUAUUGGGCCUAAAGCAUCCGUAGCCUGCUCUGUAAGUUUCCGGUUAAAUCCAUUAGCUCAACUAAUGGCCUGCCGGAAAUACUGCAGAGCUAGGAAGUGGGAGAGGUAGACGGUACUCGGUAGGAAGGGGUAAAAUCCUUUGAUCUAUUGAUGACCACCUGUGGCGAAGGCGGUCUACCAGAACACGUUCGACGGUGAGGGAUGAAAGCUGGGGGAGCAAACCGGAUUAGAUACCCGGGUAGUCCCAGCUGUAAACGAUGCAGACUCGGUGAUGCCCUGGCUUGUGGCCAGUGCAGUGCCGCAGGGAAGCCGUUAAGUUUGCCGCCUGGGAAGUACGUACGUAAGUAUGAAACUUAAAGGAAUUGGCGGGGGAGCACCACAAGGGUGAAGCCUGCGGUUCAAUUGGAGUCAAC